AUUGAACGCUGGCGGCAGGCCUAACACAUGCAAGUCGAGCGGCAGCGGGAAAGUAGCUUGCUACUUUUGCCGGCGAGCGGCGGACGGGUGAGUAAUGCCUGGGAAAUUGCCCAGUCGAGGGGGAUAACAGUUGGAAACGACUGCUAAUACCGCAUACGCCCUACGGGGGAAAGCAGGGGACCUUCGGGCCUUGCGCGAUUGGAUAUGCCCAGGUGGGAUUAGCUAGUUGGUGAGGUAAUGGCUCACCAAGGCGACGAUCCCUAGCUGGUCUGAGAGGAUGAUCAGCCACACUGGAACUGAGACACGGUCCAGACGCCUACGGGAGGCAGCAGUGGGGAAUAUUGCACAAUGGGGGAAACCCUGAUGCGGCCAUGCCGCGUGUGUGAAGAAGGCCUUCGGGUUGUAAAGCACUUUCAGCGAGGAGGAAAGGUUGAUGCCUAAUACGUAUCAACUGUGACGUUACUCGCAGAAGAAGCACCGGCUAACUCCGUGCCAGCAGCCGCGGUAA
rnacentral:rRNA from 1 species